rnacentral:lncRNA from 1 species
CUUUACCACGGAGCCAUAUCCACAGUCCUUUUUAUUUUUCAUUUUGAGAUAGGGUCUUGCUAAGUUGCUGAGGCUGGCCUCGGACUUGCGAUCCUCCUGUCUCAGUCUUCUGAGUUGCUGGGUUACAUUCAUAGGCCACAAUGCCUGGCUAAUUUUGUCUUUUUCUGACUUUUUGAGAUGGCUGCAUAAUCAUCAGUGAUUUAAAAAAAAAUUCUGGUGCAAUUUUAAUUUUAGUUCAUUUAACCUGACCAAAUUUAUGCUUUUUUGAACUAUAUUUUUUCUAGUAUUUUGCGUUGUGGUAAGAUACUAUCUUAACCAUUUUUACGUGUACAGUUCAACGACGUUAAGCACAUUCAUAUUAUUGUGCAGCUACCACCAUCAUCCAUUUCUCAAACAAACUCUUUCUUGAGAAUUCAAAUUGUAAAAUGAAACUCUGUACCCAUGAAAUAAUAAUUCUCCAUUCUCCCUCCCCACAAGCCCCAUUGAUUUUGACUGUUCUAAAUACUUCAUAAAAGUGGAAUCAUAUAAUAUUUGCCUUUUUUAUGAUUAUUUCACUUGGUGUAAUGUCCCCAGGGUUCAUCCAUGUUGCAGCAUGUGUUGGAAUGCCCUUCCUUUGAACAAUGAUUGUCCUUCUAGUGAUUGAACAAUGUUCCAGUUAAUGUGAAUAACACAUUUUGCUUAUCCAUUUAUCUAUUAAUGAGCACUUGGGUUGCUUCCACAUUUUAGUUCUUGUGAAUAACACUGCUAAGAACAUGAAUUAACAUGUAUCUCUUCAAAUACCUGCUUGCAUUCCUUUUGAGCGUAUACCAGAAGUGGAAUGGCUGAAUCAUAUAUGGUCAUUCUAUUAGUAAUUUUUUGAUGAACUACCAUACUAUUAUAUAUGGCGGCUAUACCAUUUUUCAUUCUGACCAACAAUGCACAAGAAUUCCAAUUUCUCUACAUCUUGCCAACACUAUUUUCUGUUUGUUUUUUUUUUUUCUUUUGGUGGG